rnacentral:rRNA from 1 species
CCUACGGGAGGCAGCAGUGGGGAAUUUUGGACAAUGGACGCAAGUCUGAUCCAGCCAUGCCGCGUGCGGGAAGAAGGCCUUCGGGUUGUAAACCGCUUUUGUCAGGGAAGAAAUCUUCUGAAUUAAUACUUCGGGAGGAUGACGGUACCUGAAGAAUAAGCACCGGCUAACUACGUGCCAGCAGCCGCGGUAAUACGUAGGGUGCAAGCGUUAAUCGGAAUUACUGGGCGUAAAGCGUGCGCAGGCGGUUAUGCAAGACAGGUGUGAAAUCCCCGAGCUCAACUUGGGAACUGCACUUGUGACUGCAUAGCUAGAGUACGGUAGAGGGGGGUGGAAUUCCGCGUGUAGCAGUGAAAUGCGUAGAUAUGCGGAGGAACACCGAUGGCGAAGGCAGCUCCCUGGACCUGUACUGACGCUCAUGCACGAAAGCGUGGGGAGCAAACAGGAUUAGAUACCCUGGUAGUCCACGCCCUAAACGAUGUCAACUGGUUGUUGGGAGGUUUCUUCUCAGUAACGUAGCUAACGCGUGAAGUUGACCGCCUGGGGAUACGGCCGCAAGGUUGAAAACCUCGAAAAGUAGUAGUACGGCGUGAGAGAGACGACGACGACGACGAGGGAGGGAGGAG